AUUGAACGCUGGCGGCAGGCUUAACACAUGCAAGUCGAGCGGUAACAGAGAGAAGCUUGCUUCUCUGCUGACGAGCGGCGGACGGGUGAGUAAUGCCUAGGAAUCUGCCUAGUAGUGGGGGAUAACUUGCCGAAAGGUAAGCUAAUACCGCAUACGUCCUACGGGAGAAAGGAGGGGACCUUCGGGCCUUUCGCUAUUAGAUGAGCCUAGGUCGGAUUAGUUAGUUGGUGAGGUAAUGGCUCACCAAGACCGCGAUCCGUAACUGGUCUGAGAGGAUGAUCAGUCACACUGGAACUUAGACACGGUCCAGACUCCUACGGGAGGCAGCAGUGGGGAAUAUUGGACAAUGGGGGGGAACCCUGAUCCAGCCAUGCCGCGUGUGUGAAGAAGGUCUUAGGAUUGUAAAGCACUUUAAGUUGGGAGGAAGAGCAGUUAACUAAUAUUUGACUGUUUUGACGUUACCGAAAGAAUAAGCACCGGCUAACUUCGUG
rnacentral:rRNA from 1 species